rnacentral:rRNA from 1 species
GGCGACCGGCGCACGGGUGACGUAACGCGUAUGCAACCUACCUGUAACAGGGGGAUAACACUGAGAAAUCGGUACUAAUACCGCAUAACACUAUGAGAGGCAUCUCUUGUGGUUGAAAGUUUCGGCGGUUACAGAUGGGCAUGCGUUGUAUUAGCUGGUUGGUAAGGUAACGGCUUACCAAGGCGACGAUACAUAGGGGGACUGAGAGGUUAACCCCCCACAUUGGUACUGAGACACGGACCAAACUCCUACGGGAGGCAGCAG